rnacentral:rRNA from 1 species
UACGGAGGGUGCAAGCGUUAUCCGGAUUCACUGGGUUUAAAGGGUGCGUAGGUGGGUCGGUAAGUCCGUGGUGAAAUCUCUGAGCUUAACUCAGAAACUGCCGUGGAUACUAUCGGUCUUGAAUACCGUGGAGGUGAGCGGAAUAUGUCAUGUAGCGGUGAAAUGCUUAGAUAUGACAUAGAACACCAAUUGCGAAGGCAGCUCACUACACGCCUAUUGACACUGAGGCACGAAAGCGUGGGGAUCAAACAGG